rnacentral:rRNA from 1 species
ACUGACGUUGAGGAACGAAAGCAUAGGGAUCAAACAGGAUUAGAAACCCUGGUAGUCUAUGCUGUCAAAGAUGAUUGCUACCAUUAGAAGUUUGCUCUGAUACGUUACAGUUAACACGUUAAGCGAUCCGCCUGAGGAGUACUUUCGCAAGAAUGAAACUCAAAGGAAUUGACGGGAGUCUACACAAGUGGUGGAGCAUGUGGUUUAAUGCGAUAGUACGCGCAAAAUCUUACCAGUUCUUG